rnacentral:rRNA from 1 species
GAUGACAAAUCGGAGGAAGGUGGGGAGUGACGUCAAAUCAUCAUGCCCUUUAUGUCCUGGGCUACACACGUGCUACAAUGGUCGGUACAACGAGAAGCAAGUCAGCGAUGGCAAGCAAAUCUCUAAAAGCCGAUCCCAGUUCGGAUUGCAGGCUGCAACUCGCCUGCAUGAAGUCGGAGUUGCUAGUAAUCGCGGAUCAGAAUGCCACGGUGAAUACGUUCCCGGGCCUU